rnacentral:rRNA from 1 species
AUAUUGCGCAAUGGGGGAAACCCUGACGCAGCAACGCCGCGUGAGUGAGGAAGGUCUUCGGAUUGUAAAACUCUUUUAUUAGGGAAAAAUUGCUUAGUGGUUAAUACCCAUUGGUUUUGAUGGUACCUAAGGAAUAAGCACCGGCUAACUUCGUGCCAGCAGCCGCGGUAAUACGAGGGGUGCAAGCGUUGCUCGGAAUCAUUGGGCGUAAAGGGCAGGUAGGUGGUCUCGUUUGUCUGAGGUGAAAGCCUUGAGCUUAACUCAAGAAGUGCCUCGGAAACGGCGAGACUGGAGUACUGGAGAGGGUCGUGGAAUUCCCGGUGUAGCGGUGAAAUGCGUAGAGAUCGGGAGGAACACCAGAGGCGAAGGCGGCGACCUGGACAGUGACUGACACUCAACUGCGAAAGCGUGGGGAGCAAACAGG